UGGGAGGUAGCUUAAGAAAAGCUUUAGAUUUUUACUCUGAAAAUGGUGUGCCCCUUCUAA
rnacentral:tRNA from 1 species